rnacentral:rRNA from 1 species
CCUACGGGUGGCAGCAGUGAGGAAUAUUGGUCAAUGGACGAGAGUCUGAACCAGCCAAGUAGCGUGAAGGAUGACUGCCCUAUGGGUUGUAAACUUCUUUUAUAUGGGAAUAAAAUGUUCCACGUGUGGGAUUUUGUAUGUACCAUAUGAAUAAGGAUCGGCUAACUCAGUGCCAGCAGCCGCGGUAAUACGGAGGAUCCGAGCGUUAUCCGGAUUUAUUGGGUUUAAAGGGAGCGUAGGUGGAUUGUUAAGUCAGUUGUGAAAGUUUGCGGCUCAACCGUAAAAUUGCAGUUGAAACUGGCAGUCUUGAGUACAGUAGAGGUGGGCGGAAUUCGUGGUGUAGCGGUGAAAUGCUUAGAUAUCACGAAGAACUCCGAUUGCGAAGGCAGUUCACUGGACUGCAACUGACACUGAGGCUCGAAAGUGUGGGUAUCAAACAGGAUUAGAUACCCUAGUAGUC